CGAAUCUAGUCUCAGUUCAUUCCUCCUUUCCAGCGAGAAAAGCAUCCCAACAAGCAGUGGGUGCAAAGGCGAACUCUUCAUCAUUUGGAUUCCAU